rnacentral:rRNA from 1 species
AGUGAACGCUGGCGGUAGGCCUAACACAUGCAAGUCGAACGGCAGCACAGGAGAGCUUGCUCUCUGGGUGGCGAGUGGCGGACGGGUGAGGAAUACAUCGGAAUCUACUCUGUCGUGGGGAUAACGUAGGGAAACUUACGCUAAUACCGCAUACGACCUACGGGUGAAAGCAGGGGACCUUCGGGCCUUGCGCGAUUGAAUGAGCCGAUGUCGGAUUAGCUAGUUGGCGGGGUAAAGGCCCACCAAGGCGACGAUCCGUAGCUGGUCUGAGCGGAUGAUCAGCGCCACUGGAGCUGAGACACGGUCCAGACUCCUACGGGAGGCAGCAGUGGGGACUAUUGGACAAUGGGCGCAAGGCGGAUCCAGCCAUACGGGGUGGGUGAAGAAGGCCUUCGGGUUGUAAAGCCCUUUUGUUGGGAAAGAAAUCCAGCUGGCUAAUACCCGGUUGGGAUGACGGUACCCAAAGAAUAAGCACCGGCUAACUUCGUGCCAGCCGCCGCCGUAA